rnacentral:lncRNA from 1 species
CGUGCGGACUGCUGGGGCGCAAGCCCCGACCGGCCUCGGGACGGAGCGCAGGAUCCCGGCCGCCCGCGGCCCCCCCUCAGGCGCCGCCUACCGCAGCCCGGACAGCGCCCUCGCGGGUCGGCCUCGAUGGCCAGGAGCUGACGGAGUCGCCCCCUGGGCCGGCCGGCCGCAGACUCCCGUCAGCGGCGCUGCGGCCCCCGCCGACGUCCCCUUCCCACUUGUUCAGGGGCGUCCAGACCCUCUGAAUGGGGACGCCGACCCCGUGUCCAACGGCAGCCCAGGUGAUGUGCAACCUCAGGUGCAGCAGCCUGCCACCGUCGAUGCCCAUGGGUAGUCUCCCAGCUCCUCGCAGCCCGCCGAGCAUGUGCAGGGAGCCGGCCGCACACUGCUGACUGGAGACCGCUUGACACGCCCCCAUUUCUCUCGCCAGAGCGAGGCUCCGCGUGCCCACUUGCUGGCAGAGACAGGACAACCCUCAGGCCGCAGGUUGUUGGGGACUCUGGCCCCUGGGAACCUCAUCGAGCGCGGGCCUCGGCAGAGGGAGCUGCAGGGGGCAGCGCCUGCCUGGACCCUUGGCACUUCGUACGCAGUUCAGCACAGCCUCAAGGGCUAGGACCUGAAGGAGCCAACUCUGGUCCUGAUGACUUUUUGGUUCCUGGGAGCCCUGGCUACCUUUUGUUCGAAUUAGUUCGAGAGACUCCCUUGUAUCCGUCCGAAAUACUCGUUUUUCGUUAGCUAGUUUUGGUUCAGUAAAUAACACUGUCUUUAAGAAGACGAAUAAAGAGUUUCAGAACAUAGAUAUCUAAAUUAAUUUGCACUUCGAUUUUCUUUUGGUGAAAAAGAGAUUUAGUCUUGGAUUGUCACGUUAACAAGGAAGGCUUUUCACCAAAAGGAUCAGACUUCUGGAAAGAACUACAGGCUUAUGUGAUGGAGGAAAAGCAAGGAGAACUUGGAUGACAGCGUUUUGAAAGUUACUGGUACUACAUAUCAAGUAGCCCACGUCAACAUUUAUAAGAAUGCCAUAGCUUACACGUAAACUCAGUGGAAUCAAGUUGCUUUUCUUCAAUAUUACAGAACAAGAUCCUGGGAGACCUAAACAUAAAAGUUGGAGGAAAAAAUGAAGAGAAAUAUUUUGGCUGCAUAAUUCUCCUCCCAUCCCUACCCAUGCCAAGUCUUUUCCUUUGAGCUCUGAACCAUUAACUCAUUAACUCUUAGUGCACUCAGAGGCGUUACUAAGCUAAAGGGGAUUUUCCUCACCAGGGAAGAAAAAGGAACAAAGCUAUUUAUCAUUUUCUGGAGAAGAGAGAAAGGAAAACUAUCCAAAUAUAUUUUCUCUGAUUAAAAACAGCUAGCACCAUGAUCCUCCUAAUUACUAUCUCCCUUCUCCAAACUUCCUUAUCUAUGACUCUUAACUCUCUCAUCCAAUUAUUCAGCAAAUAUUUAAGUAGUUCAUACUAUGCAGCAGGCGUUUUUCUAAGCAUAGGAUUUAAAAAAUUGAAAUUCUAUAAUCUCAAACCUCAAAGUGAUGGGCAAACAGAUGCCAAACAACAACUAUAUACUACAUAAAAAGUGACUCAAUAGAGGAAUGCACACAGUGCAACGGAGAUCUGAAAAAACAUUAACUCUGGGAUUACAGAAAGGCUUCAGAGAAGGAGGAAUUGACUUUGACUUGAGAUUUGACGUGAAGAGUAACUAGGAGGAAUUCAUCAGGCAAGCUGGCCAAGAACUCUGGAGAUUGACCAAAGGAUUACAAUAAUACUAGGAGCAUUUAUUUAAGAAAAAUAGAUGAUUUGGGACAGAUGUCUACAAUAUGGCUAAUUAAGACAUUCCUCACUGUAACUCCCUGCUCAACAACAACAUAUGGGCAUCCAUCCACAGAAAAAUGUACCUUUGCGAGAGCUAUGGGAUCCAGCACUAUGUGUCAAGGGACCUGAGAGGAGUCUUACCCACCCAAGUGUCAAGUAAUAGGCAUACAGACCUCAGUCUUGGUUGUGGACCCUGCACUGACCCAUGAACUGGCUCCAGCUACUUUCAGUGCCCUCUCUCUUUGUCCUUUCCUGGAGAAUACUGUCUUAGACAAUCACUCAUAGACAAGUGAGCCUUUGUGGAAGUCUAGGAGCUCAGCGGAGAACUUCCAACACAUAGUUGGAACAAAAAAAAUACAAGUUUGAAUGCACUAGAGAGGGUAAGAGGAAUAAUUUGACUUUACUCACAUCACCCCUCACCCAAGGUGGCACAGCUCCAAGCCAGGAGAGACCUUCUUGGCCCAAGAUUUCUCCCAAAGGGGAAAGUAAGAGCAUGUAAGUGAGCACUCAACUUCUCCAGCUGGGUGGAAUGCUGCCACAAAGGCCCAUUUCUCUCUCACCCCAUCCAGAGUACUGAGUUGUGAGCUACACUAGUUGGGAAUGUGAAGUGGCUGGGAGAGUGGCAAGUAGGACCCUCAUAUGGCAUUAAAGGGCUGCAGAUCCUAGUAACUGCAUUGUGGACUUCAUCAAGAAGCUGCCCAUGAGAUACUGGAGAUACCUCAUCUGUGGAACCCCCACCUGGCUGAUGGGCACCCCCAGGGCUCUGUGCACCUCACCCACAUGCCCUGUGGCCAACUCCCUGUGCAGGCUCCUGAUGGUGGCAAGAAUGAACUUUGGCAGAGGACAAGUGAGCAUGUACAGAAAACCGACCUGAGUCUUCAGGCAAGAAAGAAACCAUAAACUUGAGCUUUUUGAGCUUUAGCACCACCCUUAGGAAACCUCAAUCAGGUUAAUGGCUGACUUUUCAUCAGAAACCAUGGACACUAGAAAGCAAUGGAAUGACAUUUUCAAAGUGCUGAAAAAGACAACCAAGAAUUCUAUAUCUUACAAAAGCAGCUUUCAAGAACAAAGGAGAAAUUAAUUUAUUCUCAGAUACUAAAAGACUUUAUCAUUAGCAGACCUACACUACAAGAAUUAUUAAAGGGAGUCCUUUAGGCUGAAAAAGACACUAGAUAGUAAUUUGUUUCAACACAAAGAAAUAAAAGCACUGGUAAAGAUAACUACAUAAAUUAAUAAAAGUGACAGUAUACAUAUCUUUUUGUAAAUCUUUUUAUAGCUAAUAUUAAAGACAAAUGUGUAAAUCUAUAAUUAUAAAACUAUAUUGAUGAGAUUAUAAUGUAUAAAGAUGUGAUUUAUAGGAUAAUAGUAGCACAAAGUUGGGGGAAAUGGAGCUGUAUUGGAGCAAAGCUUCUGUGUAAU